rnacentral:rRNA from 1 species
CGUGAGACAGUUCGGUCCAUAUCCGGUGUAGGCGUUAGAGUAUUGAAAGGAGCCUUCCUUAGUACGAGAGGACCGGGAAGGACAUACCGCUGGUGUACCAGUUAUCGUGCCAACGGUAAACGCUGGGUAGCUAUGUGUGGAAAGGAUAACCGCUGAAAGCAUCUAAGUGGGAAGCCCACCUCAAGAUGAGUGCUCUCAUGGAAUAAUCCAGUAAGGUCACAGGAAGAUUACCUGUUAAUAGGCGCCAGGUGGAAGUCUAGUAAUGGAUGCAGCCGAAGCGUACUAAUAGACCGA